rnacentral:rRNA from 1 species
CAUCGAUGAAGAGCGCAGCGAAAUGCGAUAUGUGGUGCGAAUUGCAGAAUCCCGUGAACCAUCGAGUCUUUGAACGCAAGUUGCGCCCGAGGCCCACCGGCCGAGGGCACGCCCGCCUGGGCGCCAAGCAUCACGACACUCCGUGCAAAGGCC